rnacentral:rRNA from 1 species
UGAGGGAAAGGCGAAAAGAACCCCGGCGAGGGGAGUGAAAAAGAACCUGAAACCGUGUACGUACAAGCAGUGGGAGCCCCACCACUAAGCCAGUGGUGAACUCCACAUACGCAUCCUUUGCUGAGGAUACGGUUAACGGAGCGAAAGCGACGUUUAACCUCAAAAGAAGCAGAGGGGGCUUAGUGGUGGGGUGACUGCGUACCUUUUGUAUAAUGGGUCAGCGACUUAUAUUCUGUAGCAAGGUUAACCGCAUAGGGGAGCCGGAGGGAAACCGAGUCUUAAUUGGGCGUUAAGUUGCAGGGUAUAGACCCGAAACCCGGUGAUCUAGCCAUGGGCAGGUUGAAGGUUGGGUAACACUAAC